rnacentral:rRNA from 1 species
UGGUGGAGUGAUUUGUCUGGUUAAUUCCGUUAACGAACGAGACCUUAACCUGCUAACUAGUCCUGCGAACCUUGGUUCGUAGCUGACUUCUUAGAGGGACUAUGGAUGUGUAAUCCAUGGAAGUUUGAGGCAAUAACA